UGGGGAAUAUUGCACAAUGGGCGCAAGCCUGAUGCAGCCAUGCCGCGUGUAUGAAGAAGGCCUUCGGGUUGUAAAGUACUUUCAGUCGGGAGGAAGGUGUCAAGGUUAAUAACCUUGGCAAUUGACGUUACCGACAGAAGAAGCACCGGCUAACUCCGUGCCAGCAGCCGCGGUAAUACGGAGGGUGCAAGCGUUAUUCGGAAUUACUGGGCGUAAAGCGCACGCAGGCGGUUGAUUGAGUCAGAUGUGAAAUCCCCGGGCUUAACCCGGGGAUUGCAUCUGAUACUGGUCAGCUAGAGACGUGUAGAGGGGGGUAGAAUUCCAUGUGUAGAGGUGAGAUGCGUAGAGAUGUGGAGGAAUACCGGUGGCGAAGGCGGCCCCCUGGACAAAGACUGACGCUCAGGUGCGAAAGCGUGGGGAGCAAACAGG
rnacentral:rRNA from 1 species